rnacentral:lncRNA from 1 species
ACGUGCACAAGCACGUGCGCCUGCUGCCAGCACAGGAUGUGCGCCUAAGCGCACGUCCUAUCAACGUAGGGCACGAGGCGUGCAGUCUGCGUGCGCUGCCCUUGGGCGUGGUGCACCGCCCCUUGGGGGUUAUGCACCGCCAUCAUUUGGGCAGCAUACCUCUAGUUUUUGCACUGCUGUCGUAUCACUGUCAUUGCAUCAGCCAUCCAUCAAUCGCAUCCAUCAGUCAUCACGUCUCAUUAAGUCACUUUUUCCUCCCUCUCUCCUCACAAGAUUUUGCCACUUGGUGUAAAUCCAACAGUCCCCAUUUUUUAUAAAUUGGGACCUCU